GGGGAAUCUUCCGCAAUGGACGAAAGUCUGACGGAGCAACGCCGCGUGAGUGAUGACGGCCUUCGGGUUGUAAAGCUCUGUGAUCGGGGACGAAUGGCUGGUGCGUUAAUACCGCAUCAGAGUGACGGUACCCGAAUAGCAAGCCACGGCUAACUACGUGCCAGCAGCCGCGGUAAUACGUAGGUGGCAAGCGUUGUCCGGAAUUAUUGGGCGUAAAGCGCGCGCAGGCGGCUUCUUAAGUCCAUCUUAAAAGUGCGGGGCUUAACCCCGUGAUGGGAUGGAAACUGGGAGGCUGGAGUAUCGGAGAGGAAAGUGGAAUUCCUAGUGUAGCGGUGAAAUGCGUAGAGAUUAGGAAGAACACCGGUGGCGAAGGCGACUUUCUGGACGACAACUGACGCUGAGGCGCGAAAGCGUGGGGAGCAAAC
rnacentral:rRNA from 1 species